UAGAAGUUAGCUCACUGGCAGAGCAAUAGACACUUAAGCUAUUGGUGAUAGGUUCGAUUCCUAUACUUUUAA
rnacentral:tRNA from 1 species